rnacentral:rRNA from 1 species
UGUGACGUUACCAAACUGUUGCCUCGGCGGGAUCUCUGCCCCGGGUGCGUCGCAGCCCCGGACCAAGGCGCCCGCCGGAGGACCAACCAAAACUCUUAUUGUAUACCCCCUCGCGGGUUUUUUUUAUAAUCUGAGCCUUCUCGGCGCCUCUCGUAGGCGUUUCGAAAAUGAAUCAAAACUUUCAACAACGGAUCUCUUGGUUCUGGCAUCGAUGAAGAACGCAGCGAAAUGCGAUAAGUAAUGUGAAUUGCAGAAUUCAGUGAAUCAUCGAAUCUUUGAACGCACAUUGCGCCCGCCAGUAUUCUGGCGGGCAUGCCUGUCCGAGCGUCAUUUCAACCCUCGAACCCCUCCGGGGGGUCGGCGUUGGGGAUCGGCCCUCCCUUAGCGGGGUGGCCGUCUCCGAAAUACAGUGGCGGUCUCGCCGCAGCCUCUCCUGCGCAGUAGUUUGCACACUCGCAUCGGGAGCGCGGCGCGUCCACAGCCGUUAAACACCCAACUUCUGAAAUGUUGACCUCGGAUCAGGUAGGAAUACCCGCUGAACUUAAGCAUAUCA